rnacentral:tRNA from 1 species
AAGGCAAUAACGAAUCUGAACUACGAUCUAAGGGGAAUUGAAUUGAUAAAGGAGUUGGAUCUGU